rnacentral:lncRNA from 1 species
ACUCGUGAUCUCUCAUUCCGCCGACUGUUCUUCGUGAUCCACUUUAAACUUACAAGAGUUCUUUAGUCUUUAGUUCUUUAUCGUAUCCUUCUCGGUCGAUUCUCGAAUCUAUUGAACGUCUACCCGAUAUUCGUCUCGUGAUACGAGCAGUGUAGUGUAUCCGUCAAUUUAAUAAGGCAUAUCCCUGUAGCACACCUUGUCACAUUGUCAUCGUCGAAUAAACUCCUUUUCGAAGCGGUCUAACCUCUUAAAACGGUAAAGAACCUUUGGUCUUUACUUCUUUAAACGCGGUGAUAGAGUGGUUGAAAGGUGAGGAGGCACUUGAGCGGUGCCGGAAGAGACGCGAGGACGUACUGAAGGGGUUGGCUGGUCUGCCUUUAUGCCGUAACAACGAGGGCCCACUUCAUAGGGCAGGAAGCACAAAGGUGAGGACGACUCCGUGACUAUCGCUGAAUCUUCCAUGACGAGAAUUUACCCGUGCCAUUCUGCCCACUCGUGUUCCCUGUCCGCACGUAUGUAUCGUUAAAAGUCUGUUACAACAAUUAAUUAUGACAAAUGAAUCGAUAAUUAAAGGAUUCUGUAUGAAAAUGAUUUUUGUUGAGUUCUCUUUGAUUUUUCUGGAUACAUUUUAAUACUCGGACAAGUGAGAUUGAUAAGAGAGUGGAACUGGUAGCAUAAGGAACGAUUUUAAGAUUUGAUUACAAUAUCUGCGAUCCAUCGUUGUUUAUACCGUAAACAAACUAUUUGAUUAUUGUUAUUUUGUAAUAUAGUAGAAUUCUGUUUACAUAAAGUUGUCGCGGCAUAAAUAUAUAUUUUAUAUAACUGAAAUUCAUAUACAUAGGAGCCUAGUUACGGAUUCAACUGGUUCACUUAACCUAAUAUUAACCAAUUCUUAGUAUAAACUAAUACCAAGAGGUUCUUAGUAUAAAUCGUUCAAUUGCAAUGAAUAAAAUUUUCAUUUCGCUUCUACAUAUAUGUUUAUAUUGAUAAGCAUUUUUUUUAAGGUUAUAUCAUAUUAUUUGCAAUUGAAAACUUUGAUGAAAAUACCUCUUACAUACUAAACUUGUCUCUUUAAAACGUGAAUUUUAUGUUCGUUUUCAUUCUUUAUUUAUUGGAACAUAAAUAUUGCGUUCACUCUUAUUUCUAUUUUAUUUGAAAAUAUUUUAUUUUUCCCCCCACCAAGAUCACUUUAAGAUCAAUAUCUUAUUAUUCAAAAAACGUGCUUUGGUGAAAUAUCAGUAAUAUACAAUUUUUCAGCCCCCUCUCUGUGCUGUUUCUUUCACUCUCCUCGAAUCUUUCGUUUCCUUUUUAUUCAUCUCUUCUUCGUCAGUCGUCGCGAAGCUUUCCCCGUUCUGUUACUGGCUCUCCCCAGCAGCACGCUUUUAUAGUGUAGCAAAUCGAAUCAGAACGCCCCCGCAGGGUCGUCAACAAUAUUAUUUGUUAGCGGAAGUGCCGUAGUAACUGGAGGUUGAAAUGAGGCCAGAUUGGCCAGGGUGAUCAAGUUAAACGGCACGUGGACAGUAAUGCUGUUCCCUGUACCACGAAUAUCCUCUCGUCGAUCCUGAUCCUUCCUCCGGCUCUCCAGAUUUCAACAGAUAUUAUGCUGUGGGUAUUUUCAUUCUUUUUUUCUCCUGUAAAAUUAUUCCAGUUGGAUAAAUAUUUGUUAAAUACGGAGCUGUUAGAAUUUUAUUAAUCAAUUAUUUAAUUAAAAGAAAAGUGAAAUAUAUCGUUUAUUAGUUUAAAGGUAGAAAAUUAAUUGAUUUAUGCCAACAGAUCUUGAAAUUCAUAAUUCCAAGGACAUGGAAUUUUCAAUAGAUUAUGCAGAGAUCGAGGACCAGAAAAUACAUGAUCCCAUAGUUGUAAAAAUCGUCACAAGUUAUCUGAAAGUCAAAGAAUCUCGAGAUGUAUUCAUGUAACAUACUUUGUAACACAAUUUAUAUUCAAAAAUGAUCUUUACUUUUAUACGCAUAUGAAUCAACUUUGUGCGUUUAUAUCAAUUGAGACCAAUUGGUUGUCGUAUCAUAUGUUUACCUUUAAUAUAGGCAUUAAAAUAUUUAGACAAAAAUAUUGAUCGGUAGCUGUAAUUACGAUUACAACUACUUUAGAUCUCGAGAAUGGUGAUGCAACCAGGAAACAAGGAGCAGACAAUGGUAUAACGCUUGAUCAGAAGUGAAAUGUCAAGGUAAAGAGCAGUAAAGAGGCUCAAGCGUGUUCGAUGAACAGCACGCAACCGUUAGCCUAACAAGCUGUCAAGACGUCGCCGCGUGUCAAUCCAAUGGUCUCUACGCACCCUUCGAAUAAAUCUACUGGGAGUCUGUUUCCACCCCCUUUCUCGACGCCGCACCAACCAGAACUGCUGUUGUCUCUCAACCACCGCUUGCAAACUUUUAGCCCUUUGAAUGAUUUAACUUCUUAGAUUGCGUUCCUCUUGUAUCCAGUCUUGCAUAUUCCUUAUCUUUCAAAGAUAAAUUAAGUUGGAGCAAGUCAAUUAUCGGUAGACUGGAUUUUUAUGCAUUUAGAUGAAAUUUAAUAGUGCAAAAAUGUACGGAACGCGUAUAAUAUGCAAAAAUACAUAGAAUACCCAAAGUAGAGUAUCGAUUAAAAAACGUAAAUUUGUAUAAAAAUCCAAGGUGUAAUAACCGACAGAAAGCAUACUAUUUUGUCUCCUUCUUAAUUUCAAAACUUUGCAAUUUACUGCUUUGGGAUCUUAAUAAAAUUAUCAGCUACGAACGUGUUGGAAUUCGAUGUUUUAUUGAAUUAUUAUGGCUGUAUUUAAUUAGGGACAUGUGAUCGAAUCAUCUCUCAAUAAUACGGUCGCUUAUAAACUCUUAUUGAUCCUGCAUGGAAACUUUCAUAGAUCUUAUCUACUAGCUAACAUAAUUUGAUUUCCUCGAAUUAGUACGUGCGUGUGGGGUGCCUUGUACGUACGAUAAUCUUCUCCCCUUUGAUCUACCUAUGACGUACUGUUUCAGAUUAUACACUUUGUAAUCUGUAAUAUACUCAAUCUAGCGUACGAUGUAAUGUAAAUUUGUCGAUCACAUUUAGCGGUAUAAGAUCACUGGACUUUUUAGACUUCUCCUGUAAUUUUUUAAGAAUAUUGCCGUAUUCUUUAUAAAAGCUAUUUAUGUGAUGAUUAUUUCACGUAAUAUUGUAGAUAUUAAAAUAUCGUGAAACGAAUACUAUAUCGUUUUGCAUUGUUUGAAAUGAAAAUAUAAAUGAAACUGAUUAAUACAUUUUCAUAGAGAAUAUUAACGAGCGACACCGAUUAUUAUUAUUAUUAUUAUUAGAUAAAGAUAAAUGAUCUUUACCUGAUCUUAACGCCUCCAUUGAACAAUAUAAGCACCUCUUAUCUCUUCUUUCCGGUCUCCUGUAAUUCUUCUAAAAAUAUUCCCUUUCAUAUGAUGUACAAGUACUUUUUGAGAUUUUUAUAAUAAUAGAUCAAGAUCAGACACCCUGUAUAUGCUUUCUUAGAAUCUAGGGAAAAUUAUAGACCGCUGUUACCAAUGCAAUUAUCAGGUAGUCGACUUUUGGAUGGCGCGCAACACGUUUUGUAAUUCAGUUCGGCGAAAUUGUGCGAUUUUCUCAUCAGCAUCUCGACCGCGUGAAAUCAGAUUAGCGAUAAACGAACUCGCUUCGUUACAUCGUUACACGUUACGAUAUCAAUUUGUAACAUGGAAGACCCGUUACAGUAUGAAUAAUAAUAAUCGAAGUUUAGAGUUUAGCACCUAUCAUUGGUAGAAUAUUUCAAAAACAUUUUUGCGUGUUAAGUCUCAAACUUGUUAAAAUGUUACGUUAAAUCUGUUCGUUGGAAAUUCUAUUUUUCCAGGUAGGAAAAUAAAUUUCCCAACGAAUAGGUAUAUAACGCAAUAAUUCACAGGUAAUUAGAAUACUAAUCGCGUAGAACUCAUUAAGAAAUCAUAUUCAACAAUACUAGGUUCAUUUUACAGACACAUAAACGUCUCAAUAUUCCAUAGAUUAUAGUUUUUCCAAAGUCACAUCUUCAUCUUCUCUAAUCAUUCAAUAAUUCCAAAACUCCUAGAUAUACAAAUCCUUAUGACGAUGAAGUCUCCUCACUAAGUAAACUCUUCUCAGCUCUCAGUACCUAAGAUAUUAAGUACAUAUAUACAUCUGCAGGAUAAAGUCAUUCAGACAUCAUCCAUCUCAAGCGUCAAGCAAUGCAUUAUGUAGACUUGAUGAGUUGGCUCUCAAAUGAAACGUGGGCAUUGAUUUAUUAUUUCUAAUAGAAUCAAUACGGUCAUAAAAAGAGCCAAGCGUGUCGAUGAAAGAUGUACAGAUAUCAUACAACACCGAUGAUGUGCAAGAGUAUUCCUCUUAUUCCAGUGCUGUCUCAUAUGCUAACUUGUACUAUAUCACUAGCGAAAGCGAUACUGAAGUUGUAAAAUUGGUUUCCGAUUGAAAUGUACAAUUUUCAAUAACCUCGGUCCAUAUAGGUAUAUAUAAUCUAUAGGUAUAUUUGAUUAUUUUUUUACGUACUCAUCAGUACUUUAGUUCAUAAAAAAAUGCACCCACAUUACCCGUACUUUUGCUUUACUGUUGUAUACUUCACUAUAUAAUCCCCUCCGUUAAGUAUAGCAUCUCUACACAGUACACGUUAAGAUUAACAUUAAGGUUGACUUGAUUAUUAUCCGUUUUAGAUGAACAAGGAGCGACACACACUUGGAAAGAAAGAAAGACAAAGAAGAAGAGACCGUGAAAGACACAGCCAGGUAGCUGUCUAUUCGAAGCCACCCUCGCGCUUUGCAGACUGCAGUAUCCUGUGCUGCGCAUAUCGGUACCGAACCCCUAUGACGGAAAAUAAUGAAAGUAAUGGGAACCCGCCCACUGCAUUUAGUCCGCGCAGCUACCAACCCCCAUUCAUUCCCUCGCUGCCUCUCUCGUCGUUCCUCUGCCCACCCUGUCCGCAUCACCGGGGGUUCUCUGUACUUGCCGCCUUGUUCAUUCUCAUCCAUCCUAGCCUUGCUCCAUUGGCUAUUGUACCUGCCAUUUCAUUGUCCUUUAUUUCAUUAUUUUCGCCGCAUUCCUGUCUCCCUUUUGCCUGGCAAGGGGUGCGAAUUUUCCCCCUUUAUUUACGGUGCCGUAAUAACAGACGUCUUAACGGAAUUUAAACGUCAUAAAUGGCCUGCCAUGAUCUCAUUAGUUUACGAGAUAGUUGCUUUCUCUUCCUACCUUUUCUCUUCUGCUUGUUGCCUGUGUGGUUCCGUUGUUCGGCGUACGACAAAGCUUAUUCGAGAGCGAGCAAUAUCGCGAACCUGAGAUCUGCCGUUUCGACAUCAAAGAAAAUAUUUUGUAAUAUAGCUUAUGCGUGCGCACGGUUCAAUGUUGAAUGCGAAUGUUUAAGGUAGGCAAAGCCGAAAGAGUGCGUCGAAAUGAAGUUGAUGUUGGUACACGAUAUUGUGAAGAUUUGGUCGUUGUUGAAGUUUAUUUUAAGCUCUUAAUCUGUUAGAAUAAUAUUGGCGAUAAUCAGACUGCGAAUAUUUGUGCUAUGCAAAAAUUUUGUUCACUCAUUAUAUAUACACAUUGUGACAAGUAUUUAGAUAUUUCACAUACUUUUUGCGUAUUAUGGGUAUAAUAUGUAUUUUUGCACCUUUAAAUUUUCCAUAAAACAAUCUGCAAUCUAGUAGUAAUCUUUAUGAAUGUGUUUCUAUCUGAUAUCGUACAGUAUGUUCAGAAGAAUUGCUACUUCAUGUCCUAGACAUUUUCUGUGAUAGAACACGUGUCUUUAUUCUUCAUACCUUGAACGAGGGCGUAUGUCAGGAGAAGGUGUGAUGAAAGGUUUUGACGCUUGACCCUUGCCGAACGUGUCGAUGAAGCGGCGAAGGAAAGGAAUGAGAAAUAACGUUAUCGAUGCAAUCACCCUACCUAAACAUUUCUCGCCUCCGUUUCACAUCUCUAAAAUGCCACUUACCUAUCGAAUUCCAAGCAAGUAUGCUGUAAUUGUAUCAAAGGAGCAAACUUUCUCCUCGAAUUAUCGACUUAUUUAACCAACCAGCCUACGAUACUGUG